GACGAACGCUGGCGGCGUGCUUAACACAUGCAAGUCGAACGGAAAGGCCCUGCUUUUGUGGGGUGCUCGAGUGGCGAACGGGUGAGUAACACGUGAGUAACCUGCCCUUGACUUUGGGAUAACUUCAGGAAACUGGGGCUAAUACCGGAUAGGAGCUCCUGCUGCAUGGUGGGGGUUGGAAAGUUUCGGCGGUUGGGGAUGGACUCGGGGCUUAUCAGCUUGUUGGUGGGGUAGUGGCUUACCAAGGCAUUGACGGGUAGCCGGCCUGAGAGGGUGAACGGGCACAUGGGGACUGAGAUACGGCCCAGACUCGUACGUGAGGCAGCAGUGGGGAGUAUUGCACAGUGGGCGGAAGCCUGAUGCGGCGACGCCGGGUGCGGGAUGACGGCCUUCGGGUUGUAAACCGCUUUCGCCUGUGACGAAGCGUGAGUGACGGUAAUGAGUAAAGAAGCACCGGCUAACUACGUG
rnacentral:rRNA from 1 species